AGAGUUUGAUCCUGGCUCAGGAUGAACGCUGGCGGCGUGCCUAAUACAUGCAAGUCGAGCGAACGGACGAGAAGCUUGCUUCUCUGAUGUUAGCGGCGGACGGGUGAGUAACACGUGGAUAACCUACCUAUAAGACUGGGAUAACUUCGGGAAACCGGAGCUAAUACCGGAUAAUAUUUUGAACCGCAUGGUUCAAAAGUGAAAGACGGUCUUGCUGUCACUUAUAGAUGGAUCCGCGCUGCAUUAGCUAGUUGGUAAGGUAACGGCUUACCAAGGCAACGAUGCAUAGCCGACCUGAGAGGGUGAUCGGCCACACUGGAACUGAGACACGGUCCAGACUCCUACGGGAGGCAGCAGUAGGGAAUCUUCCGCAAUGGGCGAAAGCCUGACGGAGCAACGCCGCGUGAGUGAUGAAGGUCUUCGGAUCGUAAAACUCUGUUAUUAGGGAAGAACAUAUGUGUAAGUAACUGUGCACAUCUUGACGGUACCUAAUCAGAAAGCCACGGCUAACUACGUGCCAGCAGCCGCGGUAAUACGUAGGUGGCAAGCGUUAUCCGGAAUUAUUGGGCGUAAAGCGCGCGUAGGCGGUUUUUUAAGUCUGAUGUGAAAGCCCACGGCUCAACCGUGGAGGGUCAUUGGAAACUGGAAAACUUGAGUGCAGAAGAGGAAAGUGGAAUUCCAUGUGUAGCGGUGAAAUGCGCAGAGAUAUGGAGGAACACCAGUGGCGAAGGCGACUUUCUGGUCUGUAACUGACGCUGAUGUGCGAAAGCGUGGGGAUCAAACAGGAUUAGAUACCCUGGUAGUCCACGCCGUAAACGAUGAGUGCUAAGUGUUAGGGGGUUUCCGCCCCUUAGUGCUGCAGCUAACGCAUUAAGCACUCCGCCUGGGGAGUACGACCGCAAGGUUGAAACUCAAAGGAAUUGACGGGGACCCGCACAAGCGGUGGAGCAUGUGGUUUAAUUCGAAGCAACGCGAAGAACCUUACCAAAUCUUGACAUCCUUUGACAACUCUAGAGAUAGAGCCUUCCCCUUCGGGGGACAAAGUGACAGGUGGUGCAUGGUUGUCGUCAGCUCGUGUCGUGAGAUGUUGGGUUAAGUCCCGCAACGAGCGCAACCCUUAAGCUUAGUUGCCAUCAUUAAGUUGGGCACUCUAAGUUGACUGCCGGUGACAAACCGGAGGAAGGUGGGGAUGACGUCAAAUCAUCAUGCCCCUUAUGAUUUGGGCUACACACGUGCUACAAUGGACAAUACAAAGGGCAGCGAAACCGCGAGGUCAAGCAAAUCCCAUAAAGUUGUUCUCAGUUCGGAUUGUA
rnacentral:rRNA from 1 species